GGGGGUCGGUCACCGGACGGCCACCGGAGGCUCGCCGGCGCCGGCGCCGGCCACCGCACACGGUGGCCGGAAAAGGUAAAAAUUUAUAUUUUUAUAUUUUUUUAUUUUUUUGUAUUUUCUUUUAUAUUUUAAUAUAUGUAUAGGUUAAAAAAACUUAAAACCGAAUUUAAAAUAGAAAGAAAAAAAAGAAAUCACCUUAGGGUUUUUUAAGCUUUUAAUCCUUUGAUCUUGGUGUUUUGAUAAUAUUCAAUACUGAUCUAUUGUUGCUCCUGAAAACUAAUCUGUAUUCUCUGCUUCUUUGUUUUUAAACUGCUGAAAAUAAGAAAAAGAAAAAAACAGAAAAAAAGACCCCCUUUUUACAACCUUUCAUUCGGGUUUUAUAACCCUUUACAUUUUAUUUUUAUAUGAUUUCUGUCUUGUCCGAUUGCAGGAGAUGGGCAAACGGUGGAGGUGACUUCAGACGGCAUGGGCAAUGGCCAAGUUGUCAGAGGCGUGCGUAGCAGAGUAUGGGGCUAGGGUUUUUUUAUUUUUUUGUUUCUUUUGAUGUUGGGUUACUUUAGUUAUUGGGCUGGUGGUAUUUUGGGUUUGACGGGCUUUAGUGUGAAUGGGUCAUGUUGGGUUUGUGGGUUGUUUGAUUUAGGGCCCAAAAUUGGCCUGUACAGUGUGUUUUAAUUGAGUUAGGACCUAAUUGGAAAUGGGUGAAAUGAAUUAAAAUAUUAAUAAUGAAACUUAACUAUGAGUAAUAAUUAUUAUAUAUAAACUAAAGUGAAAUGUACUAAGAACUAUAAAGUUAA
rnacentral:lncRNA from 1 species